CCAUCAUACUUCUGCUCCUCUCUAGCAGUUAACUCCUCCCUUUGGAUGAAAAUUCCUUUUCCCAAGCAUCCUGGAGCUCAGCCACCAUGCUUUCUCCUAGUCCAGCCUGGCCUCCUGCACAAGUGUACUGGCCCCAACUUUACCAAGCCAGCCUCAUCCUCCUUCAAGACACAGCAAGAUUUGCAGGGGUGCUCAGCUGCUGGCCUCAGCUUCCUGUCCAGACACCAUGGAGUGACACCCAGAGAUCCCCUAGACCUGCAUCCUGAGACUUCAGGAGAAACAGGGCCUUGUGGACCAAUUUGUGCUGAGUAUUCCCUGACCCCCGAGCAGGAGCAGUAAUCUCAGAGGAACUUGAUUUUCACCUGUGGCCACAAGGACCUCUCACCUCGAAGAAAUAGUCCAGGGAAAACCACCAACCAGGCCAGAGCUUGACUGCAUUAAACUCUGCAGGCA
rnacentral:lncRNA from 1 species